rnacentral:rRNA from 1 species
ACGCACGCUGGCGGCGUGCUUAACACAUGCCAGUCGAACGGUGAAGCGCCUUCCUUUUUGGUGGGUGUGGAUGAGUGGCGAACGGGUGAGUAACACGUGAGUAACCUGCCCCCUUCUUCUGGAUAACCGCAUGAAAGUGUGGCUAAUACGGGAUAUUCUGGGUCUGUCGCAUGAUGGGUCUGGGAAAGAUAUUGUUUCGGUGGGGGAUGGGCUCGCGGCCUAUCAGCUUGUUGGUGGGGUGAUGGCCUACCAAGGCGGUGACGGGUAGCCGGCCUGAGAGGGUGGACGGUCACACUGGGACUGAGACACGGCCCAGACUCCUACGGGAGGCAGCAGUGGGGAAUAUUGCUCAAUGGGCGCAAGCCUGAUGCAGCGACGCCGCGUGAGGGAUGGAGGCCUGCGGGUUGUGAACCUCUUUCGCCAGUGAAGCAGGCCUGCCUCGUUUGUGGGUGGGUUGACGGUAGCUGGAUAAGAAGCGCCGGCUAACUACGUG